GCCCUUGUAGCUCAGUGGUAGAGCGCUUCACUCGUAGGCCUUUGGCAUCCAAAGGUAGUGACAUGAAGAGGUCCGCGGUUCAAUCCCGCGUGGGGGCA